GAUGAACGCUGGCGGCGUGCCUAAUACAUGCAAGUCGAGCGAACAGACGAGGAGCUUGCUCCUCUGACGUUAGCGGUGGACGGGUGAGUAACACGUGGAUAACCUACCUAUAAGACUGGGAUAACUUCGGGAAACCGGAGCUAAUACCGGAUAACAUGUUGAACCGCAUGGUUCAACAGUGAAAGACGGUCUUGCUGUCACUUAUAGAUGGAUCCGCGCCGCAUUAGCUAGUUGGUAAGGUAACGGCUUACCAAGGCAACGAUGCGUAGCCGACCUGAGAGGGUGAUCGGCCGCACUGGAACUGAGACACGGUCCAGACUCCUACGGGAGGCAGCAGUAGGGAAUCUUCCGCAAUGGGCGAAAGCCUGACGGAGCAACGCCGCGUGAGUGAAGAAGGUCUUCGGAUCGUAAAACUCUGUUAUUAGGGAAGAACAAAUGUGUAAGUAACUAUGCACGUCUUGACGGUACCUAAUCAGAAAGCCACGGCUAACUACGUG
rnacentral:rRNA from 1 species